rnacentral:rRNA from 1 species
UACGAAGGGUGCAAGCGUUAAUCGGAAUUACUGGGAGUAAAGGGUGCGUAGGCGGUUAUUUAAGUCUGCCGUGAAAUCCCCGGGCUCAACCUGGGAAUGGCGGUGGAUACUGGAUAGCUAGAGUGUGUCAGGGAUGGUGGAAUUCCCGGUGUAGUGGUGAAAUGCGUAGAUAUCGGGAGGAACACCAGUGGCGAAGGCGACUACCUGGCCUGUUCUUGACGCUGAGGCGCGAAAGCUAGGGGAGCAAACGGG